AAAUUACAAGAACAAUAAAAACAACAACGAAAUAAAAUCAAUUGGAUCAUUAAACAUUAAAUCUCAAAAACAACAACAACAAAACAAAAUCAACACAACCACUAAAUAUUAAAUAUCAACAACAACAACAACACCAACAAUAAUAAAAACAACAACAAAAAGAAAAACAACAAGAAAAAUAAAAUCAAUAAAAUCAUUAAACCACUACUACAAAAAAACAUGUUACAGUAGAUGUU
rnacentral:lncRNA from 1 species